UACGAAGGGAGCUAGCGUUGUUCGGAAUUACUGGGCGUAAAGGGCGCGUAGGCGGCCUUGUAAGUCAGAUGUGAAAGCCCCGGGCUUAACCUGGGAACUGCAUUUGAUACUGCAAGGCUAGAGGAUGAGAGAGGAAAGUGGAAUUACGAGUGUAGAGGUGAAAUUCGUAGAUAUUCGUAAGAACACCAGUGGCGAAGGCGGCUUUCUGGCUCAUUACUGACGCUAAUGCGCGAAAGCUAGGGGAGCAAACGGG
rnacentral:rRNA from 1 species